AACGAACGCUGGCGGCAUGCCUAACACAUGCAAGUCGAACGAGACCUUCGGGUCUAGUGGCGCACGGGUGCGUAACGCGUGAGAACUUGCCCUUAGGUUCGGAAUAACUCCACGAAAGGGGUGCCAAUACCGGAUAAUGUCUUCGGACCAAAGAUUUAUCGCCUUUGGAUGGGCCCGCGUUGGAUUAGCUAGUUGGUAGGGUAAAAGCCUACCAAGGCGACGAUCCAUAGCUGGUUUGAGAGGAUGAUCAGCCACACUGGGACUGAGACACGGCCCAGACUCCUACGGGAGGCACCAGUGGGGAAUAUUGGACAAUGGGCUAAAGCCUGAUCCAGCAAUGCCGCGUGAGUGAUGAAGUCCUUAGGGUUGUAAAGCUCUUUUAACCGGGAUGAUAAUGACAGUACCGGAAGAAUAAGCGCCGGCUAACUCCGUG
rnacentral:rRNA from 1 species